rnacentral:rRNA from 1 species
UACCAGCACCCCGAGUGGUCGGGACGAUUAUUGGGCCUAAAGCAUCCGUAGCCGGUCAUGCAAGUCCUCCGUUAAAUCCACCUGCUUAACAGAUGGGCUGCGGAGGGUACUACAAGGCUAGGAGGCGGAAGAGGCAAGCGGUACUCAGUGGGUAGGGGUAAAAUCCUCUGAUCCAUUGAAGACCACCAGUGGCGAAGGCGGCUUGCCAAUACGCGCUCGACGGUGAGGGAUGAAAGCUGGGGGAGCAAACCGG